rnacentral:rRNA from 1 species
UACGGAGGGAGCUAGCGUUGUUCGGAAUUACUGGGCGUAAAGCGCGCGUAGGCGGCUUUGUAAGUUAGAGGUGAAAGCCUGGAGCUCAACUUCAGAAUUGCCUUUAAGACUGCAUCGCUUGAAUCCGGGAGAGGUGAGUGGAAUUCCGAGUGUAGAGGUGAAAUUCGUAGAUAUUCGGAAGAACACCAGUGGCGAAGGCGGCUCACUGGACCGGCAUUGACGCUGAGGUGCGAAAGCGUGGGGGAGCAAACAGGAUUGAGAA